ensembl:lncRNA
CAAAAUUUCACAUUUUACAAAGCAGUUUUCUUUGAGUUGCUUAGCACAUCUGCUCAGUGGAUUAUAGGAUAAGUAGGGAAGGGAGAAGCAGCCUUAAUUUGUACUCAUGAGACCACAGGGAAUCAAAACCAACUGUUCUUACAGUAGUGUGAACAAAGCUGUAAUCCUCAGCUGCUUGCUCUUUAGUACCCUGGAUGGGAGUAACCACAGCCAUGGUUUAUUUUCUCACAGCACUGCAUCAAUGAGAAAAGUCUCCAUCCAGUGAGUCUGGUACAAUAUUUGCUGAUGGAAAGAGGACAGCUGCUGUAUGCUCAUUGCUCCAAGGGAAAUGUAAUCGAUGACAGAAGACGGCAUCUGGGGAUCUCAGCAUUUCAAAAGGCAAUCAAAAAUCUCUGAAUGCUGCCAUUUAAGAAAAGAUGAAACUGUCACACCACGUGCUGAGUCUUUAAAUGAAUUGGGAGAGAAAGACACACCCUUGGAGCUUCAGGGCUGCUCAUAUGGAUUAGUCUGAAGAUUAUGGGCUGCUGUGAUUGUCUGCCAGAAACAAAAAUGUGUCUUCAAAAUGUGAAAGGCUUGGCUAACAUCUGCAGAGCCCACUAAGCUGUGUAACUUUAUGUAACAAGGUCAGUGUACUUGCAAUGGUCUUCAGGAGCUAUGAGGAUAUUAGAUCUUGCAGCAUUUCCAUGUCAUGCCCACACAGUGCUGUUCCCCUUAGUGAUGUCCUCAUGAAGGGGCUCUCUGCAUCUCUCCUCAUUUCAGAUCACCACACCCCCUGGAUUUACACUGAAGCCUCUCAAGGGGCUUAUCAAUACGACACAAUACUCCUCCAGCUCUGAAAUGGCCUAAUGGAGAAUAGGGGGAAAUGGCUAAGAUUACAUCAUGGCUCCAAGCUAUCUGAAUCUCACAAAUCUGGAAAGCAAAUGUUGAACUCAGGAAAACCUUCAUGUCACCCAUUGUUAAGUGAAAGCUUGGGAG